CUGAUCUUUGUGGAUCUGAAAUGAAAUAUUCAGCAGCUGCACGGACGAUUUCUCCUUUAAAUGUUUUCAGAAACAUGUUUCCGUGAACUAUUUUAGUAAAAUAUGAGAUUGUCGUCUGAACGAGCCGCCAUGACACUCUGGUUUUGAAUUUCUGGAGAACAGCGUUCGUCCAAUCAGGUGCCGGUAAUCAUUUUUA